UACGUAGGGGGCAAGCGUUGUCCGGAAUCAUUGGGCGUAAAGAGCUCGUAGGCGGUUGUUGCGUCGGCUGUGAAAACUCCGCGAGCUCAACCGUCGGGUCUGCAGUCGAUACGGGCAGGCUGGAGUUCGGUAGGGGAGACUGGAAUUCCUGGUGUAGCGGUGAAAUGCGCAGAUAUCAGGAGGAACACCGGUGGCGAAGGCGGGUCUCUGGGCCGAUACUGACGCUGAGGAGCGAAAGCGUGGGGAGCGAACAGG
rnacentral:rRNA from 1 species